AGNCCAAGCUGUGUUCACACGGCGAGACCGCGGACGGCUCAUUAAAUCAGUCGUGGUCCAAAUGGGCCAGUGCAAAUCCUACUUGGAUAACUGUGGUAAUUCCAGAGCUAAUACAUGCAACUGAUAUCCCGAAGGCGGUGUUUGUGCUUGCUUGCCUUGCGCUUGCGCUGCUCUGACGGAUGCUUUUAUUAGACCAAGCCGCUGAGGACUUGAGGGUUCGCGCUCUCUUGUUUGACUCGUGUGAUGGUGACUCUGGAUAACCAAAUUCUGACAAGCGCACGUACUUCUCUUCUGAGCGAGACGGCGCUGCCACUUUCGAGUGUCUGCCUUAUCAGCUAUCAACCGUUCGUUAUGCGCGACCGAUGGCUUUGACGGGUAACGGGGAAUCAGGGUUCGAUUCCGGAGAGGCAGCCUGAGAGACGGCUACCACGUCCAAGGACGGCAGCAGGCACGCAAAUUACCCAAUCCCAGCAAAUGGGGGAGGUAGUGACGAAAUCUAACGAUGCGGGCGCCCUUUCUGGGGCCCCGCAAUCGGAAUGGGCACUUUCUAAACAACCUGUUGAGAACCUACUGAAGGGCAAGUCUGGUGCCAGCAGCCGCGGUAAUUCCAGCUUCAGCAGCAUCUAUUAAAGUUGCUGCGGUUAAAAGGCUCGCAGUUGAAUGUCUGUAUCGAGCGCAGGUCAG
rnacentral:rRNA from 1 species